ACUUGCGGUACAGUUGUGUACACACCCAGGUCCCCUGCAGCACUGUACCAUUCCACUGCAGAGACCAUCUGCACAUCCUCGGGGCGAGAGGUGAAGAGAGCCCCGGUCUGGGUGUGAGGAGAACUGCCUUUGUACCCCAGCUUGACCGGAGGACUCCGGAUACCUGUUUUCACUACCCCGGACCUGGGUGCCUCAUCUGAAAGCGAGAAUCAUACCCAGUGACCUGAGGUAUACCUGAGAAAUCCGGCUGGAAUGGGGCUGCCCCCCAGAAAUUGGCUCGUAGGCAGCCCACGUAUCAUCACUGUCUGCCUGAAAUGCCACAGAAGCCACUGGAGAGGACUCAGGACCUCGGGAUCGUGCCGGGCAGGGUAUCUGAGGAGAAAGAUGAUGAGCCUGGGGUCGAGGAGAAGCGCUUGAUCCUCAGUUUGCUUAACGGAAACAGUCUCUGCAGCCACCGUUAAGUUCUGAACAACACUCAAAGUUCCUGACAACACCCUUGAACGUAUGCUAUUUUUACAGGGCCAUCUAAAAGACGCAACUGAGAUUUUCUUGCUUUGUUUGCUUUAUUAGCUUAAGAGGAGG
rnacentral:lncRNA from 1 species